UUCCUACGGGUGGCUGCAGUGAGGAAUAUUGGUCAAUGGGCGCAAGCCUGAACCAGCCAUCCCGCGUGAAGGAAGAAGGCCCUAUGGGUUGUAAACUUCUUUUCCAGGGGGUGAAUAAUUCCGAUGUAUCGGGAGAUGACGGUACCCUGGGAAUAAGCAUCGGCUAACUCCGUGCCAGCAGCCGCGGUAAUACGGAGGAUGCGAGCGUUAUCCGGAUUUAUUGGGUUUAAAGGGUGCGUAGGCGGAACAAUAAUGCAGUGUUGAAAGACUGCAGCUUAACUGUAGACUUGCCGUUGAUACUGGUGAUCUUGAGUAUGGUCAAGGCAGGCGGAAUGUGUAAUGUAGCGGUGAAAUGCUUAGAUAUUACACAGAACACCGAUUGCGAAGGCAGCUUGCUGGGCCAUUACUGACGCUGAUGCACGAAAGCGUGGGGAUCGAACAGGAUUAGAUACCCGAGUAGUC
rnacentral:rRNA from 1 species